GGGUUGUGAGGUUAAGCGACUAAGCGUACACGGUGGAUGCCCUGGCAGUCAGAGGCGAUGAAGGGCGUGCUAAUCUGCGAUAAGCGCCGGUAAGGUGAUAUGAACCGUUAUAACCGGCGAUACCCGAAUGGGGAAACCCAGUGUGACUCGUCACACUAUCAUUAACUGAAUCCAUAGGUUAAUGAGGCGAACCGGGGGAACUGAAACAUCUAAGUACCCCGAGGAAAAGAAAUCAACCGAGAUUCCCUCAGUAGCGGCGAGCGAACGGGGAGGAGCCCAGAGCCUGAAUCAGCAUGUGUGUUAGUGGAAGCGUCUGGAAAGGCGCGCGAUACAGGGUGACAGCCCCGUACACAAAAGCGCAUGUGCUGUGAGCUCGAUGAGUAGGGCGGGACACGUGGUAUCCUGUCUGAAUAUGGGGGGACCAUCCUCCAAGGCUAAAUACUCCUGACUGACCGAUAGUGAACCAGUACCGUGAGGGAAAGGCGAAAAGAACCCCGGCGAGGGGAGUGAAAAAGAACCUGAAACCGUGUACGUACAAGCAGUGGGAGCCCUACCACCAAAGCAUUCUCUGGUGUUGAAGGCCCUGCAAAGCAGCAUCGCGGUGGCGGAGCGUCGUUUGCGACGCCCAACACACAAAACAAGCGGUGAGUGCUUUGGGGUGGGGUGACUGCGUACCUUUUGUAUAAUGGGUCAGCGACUUAUAUUCUGUAGCAAGGUUAACCGAAUAGGGGAGCCGGAGGGAAACCGAGUCUUAACCGGGCGUUAAGUUGCAGGGUAUAGACCCGAAACCCGGUGAUCUAGCCAUGGGCAGGUUGAAGGUUGGGUAACACUAACUGGAGGACCGAACCGACUAAUGUUGAAAAAUUAGCGGAUGACCUGUGGCUGGGGGUGAAAGGCCAAUCAAACCGGGAGAUAGCUGGUUCUCCCCGAAAGCUAUUUAGGUAGCGCCUCGUGAAUUCAUCUCCGGGGGUAGAGCACUGUUUCGGCUAGGGGGCCAUCCCGGCUUACCAACCCGAUGCAAACUGCGAAUACCGGAGAAUGUUAUCACGGGAGACACACGGCGGGUGCUAACGUCCGUCGUGAAGAGGGAAACAACCCAGACCGCCAGCUAAGGUCCCAAAGUCAUGGUUAAGUGGGAAACGAUGUGGGAAGGCCCAGACAGCCAGGAUGUUGGCUUAGAAGCAGCCAUCAUUUAAAGAAAGCGUAAUAGCUCACUGGUCGAGUCGGCCUGCGCGGAAGAUGUAACGGGGCUAAACCAUGCACCGAAGCUGCGGCAGCGACACUGUGUGUUGUUGGGUAGGGGAGCGUUCUGUAAGCCUGUGAAGGUGGCCUGUGAGGGUUGCUGGAGGUAUCAGAAGUGCGAAUGCUGACAUAAGUAACGAUAAAGCGGGUGAAAAGCCCGCUCGCCGGAAGACCAAGGGUUCCUGUCCAACGUUAAUCGGGGCAGGGUGAGUCGACCCCUAAGGCGAGGCCGAAAGGCGUAGUCGAUGGGAAACGGGUUAAUAUUCCCGUACUUGGUGUUACUGCGAAGGGGGGACGGAGAAGGCUAUGUUGGCCGGGCGACGGUUGUCCCGGUUUAAGCGUGUAGGUGUGUGUUCCAGGUAAAUCCGGUUCACUUUAACACUGAGGCGUGACGACGAGGCACUACGGUGCUGAAGCAACAAAUGCCCUGCUUCCAGGAAAAGCCUCUAAGCAUCAGGUAACAUCAAAUCGUACCCCAAACCGACACAGGUGGUCAGGUAGAGAAUACCAAGGCGCUUGAGAGAACUCGGGUGAAGGAACUAGGCAAAAUGGUGCCGUAACUUCGGGAGAAGGCACGCUGACACGUAGGUGAAGUGAUUUACUCAUGGAGCUGAAGUCAGUCGAAGAUACCAGCUGGCUGCAACUGUUUAUUAAAAACACAGCACUGUGCAAACACGAAAGUGGACGUAUACGGUGUGACGCCUGCCCGGUGCCGGAAGGUUAAUUGAUGGGGUCAGCGCAAGCGAAGCUCCUGAUCGAAGCCCCGGUAAACGGCGGCCGUAACUAUAACGGUCCUAAGGUAGCGAAAUUCCUUGUCGGGUAAGUUCCGACCUGCACGAAUGGCGUAAUGAUGGCCAGGCUGUCUCCACCCGAGACUCAGUGAAAUUGAACUCGCUGUGAAGAUGCAGUGUACCCGCGGCAAGACGGAAAGACCCCGUGAACCUUUACUAUAGCUUGACACUGAACAUUGAGCCUUGAUGUGUAGGAUAGGUGGGAGGCUUUGAAGCGUGGACGCCAGUCUGCGUGGAGCCGACCUUGAAAUACCACCCUUUAAUGUUUGAUGUUCUAACGUGGACCCGUUACCCGGGUUGCGGACAGUGUCUGGUGGGUAGUUUGACUGGGGCGGUCUCCUCCUAAAGAGUAACGGAGGAGCACGAAGGUUGGCUAAUCCUGGUCGGACAUCAGGAGGUUAGUGCAAUGGCAUAAGCCAGCUUGACUGCGAGCGUGACGGCGCGAGCAGGUGCGAAAGCAGGUCAUAGUGAUCCGGUGGUUCUGAAUGGAAGGGCCAUCGCUCAACGGAUAAAAGGUACUCCGGGGAUAACAGGCUGAUACCGCCCAAGAGUUCAUAUCGACGGCGGUGUUUGGCACCUCGAUGUCGGCUCAUCACAUCCUGGGGCUGAAGUAGGUCCCAAGGGUAUGGCUGUUCGCCAUUUAAAGUGGUACGCGAGCUGGGUUUAGAACGUCGUGAGACAGUUCGGUCCCUAUCUGCCGUGGGCGCUGGAGAACUGAGGGGGGCUGCUCCUAGUACGAGAGGACCGGAGUGGACGCAUCACUGGUGUUCGGGUUGUCAUGCCAAUGGCACUGCCCGGUAGCUAAAUGCGGAAGAGAUAAGUGCUGAAAGCAUCUAAGCACGAAACUUGCCCCGAGAUGAGUUCUCCCUGAGACUUAGAGUCUCCUGAAGGAACGUUGAAGACGACGACGUUGAUAGGCCGGGUGUGUAAGCGCAGCGAUGCGUUGAGCUAACCGGUACUAAUGAACCGUGAGGCUUAACCUUACAACGCCGAAG
rnacentral:rRNA from 1 species